UUUUGUUAAGAAAUACAUCACUUAAAUUUGCUUUUAUUUGGGGGUAAAGUAAUACUUACAAUGUUCUCAUAACAAAUUAAAGUCACAUUAAAAAAAAGAAAUGUAAACACAUGGCAAUAGAAAUACUUGUGCCCUAUCAAAUCUUUGUUCUAGCAGAAUCACCCAUUACAACAACAUGUUUUAAUUAUGUUUUGUUGAAGCUACAUAAAUAUAUUUUAAAAUAGUCAGGCUCAAGGUUUGCACCUCUGGCCGUUACUAUGACAUAACCGUUUCUGGAAAAAUAUUAUUGUUUGUCCUCCAAAACUAGUAUUAUUAUCUAUAAAAUAGAGUGUAAAUUUCUGGGCUCUUAAAAGCAGCAUCUCUACACUACUAGUCAAAAUUCUGGACAGACCUUCCCAUUCAGUGUUUUUGAUGCUUUUCAUGCAGUGCCAAUCAUCUCAGAUGACUACCUCAUGAAGCUCACUGACAGAAGGCUAGAGUGUGCAAAGCAGUGAUCAAAGCAAAGGGUGGCUAAUUUGAAGAAUCUAAGAUCUAAAAGGUCUUUUGGGUUAUUUCAUACUUUUUUGUUUACUACAUCAUUUGUGUUAGGGUUAGUGCUCCAUGUGUGUCCAUUCAUAGUUUUGAUGCCUUCAGUUCGAAACUACAAAGUAGUCAUGAAAAUGAAGAAAAAAAACAUUCAAAUGAAGGUGUGUACAAACUUUUCACUGUUAGUACAUCAGAUGUACAGUGUCAAUGAUGAGCAUUCUGGUUUACACAACAACAAAGAAAUAUGCCCAGUUUUGAGGGACUCACUUAUUCAUUUGUGUAAUGUUACACAUGUGACUUACAGCAUUUUACAGGUUUUCUAUAAUGUUUUGCUCCAUGAAGGUUUUUUUUUUUUUUAAAAAGCAUUAACAUAGUAUUUGAAUUUAAAGAUUCUUUUAGGAAAUAUACCUAAAACAUCUGGUAAAAACUGUAAAAUGUGCUAUGCCAUGACCUAUAGAGCACUGAAACAAAGACUGUCAAAAAAGUGCUUUUUAAGCAAAUAAAAAAUUAUUAUAUUUAUUUACAUUUCUCUGCAACAGCUUCAGUAUAUCUUUGAGGUGGUGAUGCUGGAGGUGGUGCAGGGGUAGCUCGUGGGGCUGUGGCUGGUGCUGCUGUCACUAGCGGAACUGUUUCUUCUACGGUUUGUGCUGUAGAUGGAGCUGAGGCUUGUGCGUUGUAGCUUGUGGAUCUGAGUCUACUGGUGAUGUAGCUUUUGGAGCUGUGGUCUGCAAGACUGGGUCUGCCGCUGUGGUCUGCGAGGCUGGGUCUGCCGCUGUGGUCUGCGAGGCUGGGUCUGCCGCUGUGGUCUGCGAGGCUGGGUCUGCCGCUGUGGUCUGCGAGGCUGGGUCUGCCGCUGUGGUCUGCGAGGCUGGGUCUGCCGCUGUUUGGGAUUUAGUUUGUAGAGCUGUAGCGCGUCCUUGUGCUGUAGCAAUUGUGGCUGGUUCUGGUGGUGCGUUUUCUUAGUGUGUCUCUUGACCCUGGAUCUGAUACUGUUGUUGGUAUGCCUUGUGGAACUGGAGAUAGUUGUGGGGUUUUCACUGGUGGUGAUGCAAGUGAUGCCACUGGUGCUGUAUCCUGUGGAGCUCUAGGAGGUGGUGGUGCUCCUGCCAAUGGUGCUGCUGUAGUCUUUGGAGCUAGAGCAGAUGCUGGUGCUGCUGCAGCUUGUGGUGCUGCUGGACCUGGUUGUGCUUUUAGUAAUGUGGCUGCUGUUUCCUUUAAACCCCGAUGUGGCACUCUUGGCAUACUGUCUUUGCUAACUUUAGUUGGUCUACAUGUACUUUUGGAAUGAUUGUCCCAUUGGAAUCCUGAAGAUCCACACUUUUACCUUGGAUUGCUGUAAUGAUGUAAGGGCCUAAAACGUUUGCUUCAAUUUUCCCCCCUUUCCUCUGCUGGCUUCUUAUGUUAGCAGUUAAAACUUUGUCACCAACUUUGAAAACAACAUCUCUCUUCAUCAUUUUUAUUUUGCCCUUUGGUUUUUCCUGUGCUUUGACCACAUUGUCCUUCAGCAGUUCCAACAGCUUUUGAUGCUUUCGAAUGUCUUGCGACAGCUCUUCCAGCCCCACUUCCACACUCUCGUCAACCUUUGAAGCAAAA
ensembl:lncRNA